AUUAGCAACAUAUAGAGCUUAUAAACAACAUUUUAUUAUACUGUGCUGUAAAUAUACAAACAGACAUUACUAUGUCUCUUUUUCCAUCCCUGAUAUAGGGUCAUGGCGGUGUGGAUGGUCUCCUCGGAGUUCAGGGAAAUGAAGGCGAUCCAGGUGAUAUUGGUCACAGGGGAGCCUUAGGGAGACCUGGCCAGCAGGGGGGGCAGGGCUCACCGGGACAAACAGGUUUAAGGGGAUUCCAGGGGGGCCCAGGUCCAAAGGGUUUUCCAGGCACAAAAGGAAAACGUGGGGCCAAAGGGCAUUGAGGGACUCAGCGGAGAGCAGGGACAAGGGGGCAGUGUGGGACAAAAGGUACCAUUUACCACUGAAGAAGGCCUCCUCUGAAAGCCAUACUGGCCAGUACAGAGCGUCAGCUGUCCAGUGUGUAUAUCCUGCUCCUGUGCUCUUGUCUUCACAUUGCCUAUUCACGGUUAUGAUUCAGUUAUGAUGCACUUUAAUUUCUAAACUCUCCACCACUGGACAGAAUCACUGUAACAGCAAAUUAAAGGUUUUAU